UCUUGCGACAAUGGGCGAAAGCCUGACGCAGCAACGCCGCGUGCGGGAGGACGGCCUUCGGGUUGUAAACCGCUUUUCGGGGGGAAGAGGAAGGACGGUGCCCCCGGAAGAAGUCUCGGCUAACUACGUGCCAGCAGCCGCGGUAAAACGUAGGAGGCGAGCGUUAUCCGGAAUUAUUGGGCGUAAAGAGUGCGUAGGCGGUCUAUUAAGUCUCAUUUGAAAGCCCAUGGCUUAACCAUGGAGGGUGAUGGGAAACUGAUGGACUUGAGUACAGGAGAGGAAGGUGGAAUUCCACGUGUAGCGGUGAAAUGCGUAGAGAUGUGGAGGAACACCAGUGGCGAAGGCGGCCUUCUGGCCUGUGUCUGACGCUAAGGCACGAAAGCGUGGGUAGCAAACAGG
rnacentral:rRNA from 1 species